CUGUGAUUUCAAUACAUCUUGAUAAUAUGCAUUCAAGCCGCGAAUCGCGUAAAUGGUCGAAAUCUGGAUUGCGCAUGGCACAUAGCUCGAGGGCUUCGGGACGAGCGCUGUUUUCUCGGGUGAGUCAACGGCGCAACGCAAACGAUUUCGCCCGUGUCGAGACAUGUACUCGCGACUUCCGAGGUGCUACGACCGGUGAGCCCUGAGAGCUAAUUGACAGAAGUCCGUCCUGUUCAACCUAAAUCCCUGUGUACGUAAUGGCGCAAAGUUUGACCAUUUUGGCCGCCAAAGACGUCAACUCCGCGACCUACCAGACACGGUGUUCUCACAUGAGGACAGGUGCUCGUGCAUGCAAGAAAUGUUAAGUGCUCCAACAGCUGUGCAGCAGAUGUAAUCUGUCACACAUCACUGAUAUCCCACACGACUUGCACUAGCUGCUUGCCUACUCGGCCCCGUACACAGUGGCACAUGCCCUUUAUGGAGUAGUGCCCAAGAAUGGGUGCAUAUGCAGUGUCCCAAGUUACCUGCUCGGCAACACAACAUUGCCAAUGUGGGCGAAAGAGACAAAUAAAUCUUUA